UUUCCGUAGGUGAACCUGCGGAAGGAUCAUUAUUGUAUAACCUAUGUUCGCGGGCUGUUUCUGACCCGCAAGCACGUACACGCCCGCAUAACCCCUCACACCUCCAUGUCAGCCCUGAGUGCAACACCGCGUAGGGCGCCCGCUCACUUUUUCGGAGGAGUGCUUACGCUUUCACACAAUCUUUAUAUUCAGUUAAAAAUUUCUAUUUUGUUUUUGCUGUCACUCGAUCAGUACAACUAUGCACAACGGAUCUCUUGCCUCUCGCAUCGAUGAAGAACC
rnacentral:misc_RNA from 1 species